GCGUGUAAGUGAAAGGCGAUCCACUCGCUCCCCUGAUCCUUAAAAUCUCCCGACCGUAUGGUCGUGCCAGUUCGAGUCUGGCCGGGCGCACCA
rnacentral:tRNA from 1 species